rnacentral:rRNA from 1 species
AGGGAUUGCCUCAGUAACGGCGAGUGAAGCGGCAACAGCUCAAAUUUGAAAUCUGGCUCCUUCGGGGUCCGAGUUGUAAUUUGCAGAGGAUGCGUCGGGUACGGGUCCCUACCGAGUUCCCUGGAACGGGACGCCAUAGAGGGUGAGAGCCCCGUCUGGUAGGAUACCCAGCCCAUGUGACGCUCCCUCGACGAGUCGAGUAGUUUGGGAAUGCUGCUCUAACGGGAGGUAUACUCCUUCCAAAGCUAAAUACCGGCUGGAGACCGAUAGCGCACAAGUAGAGUGAUCGAAAGAUGAAAAGCACUUUGAAAAGAGAGUCAAACAGCACGUGAAAUUGUUAAAAGGGAAGCACUCGCUACCAGACUUGGGUUUGGCGGUUCAACCGGGGCCACGCCCCGGGGCAUUCCGCCAGCUCAGGCCAGCAUCAGCUUUCCGUCGGGGGCAAAGACGUCGGGAAUGUGGCUCCCCCUCGGGGGAGUGUUAUAGCCCGGCGUGUCAUACCCUUCGGGGGGCUGAGGUACGCGCUUCUGCAAGGAUGCUGGCGUAAUGGUAGCUAGUGACCCGUCUUGAAAAACGGACCAAAA